rnacentral:rRNA from 1 species
UACGUAGGGUGCGAGCGUUGUCCGGAAUUAUUGGGCGUAAAGGGCUCGUAGGCGGUUUGUCGCGUCGGGAGUGAAAACCAGGUGCUUAACACCUGGCUUGCUUUCGAUACGGGCAGACUAGAGGUAUUCAGGGGAGAACGGAAUUCCUGGUGUAGCGGUGAAAUGCGCAGAUAUCAGGAGGAACACCGGUGGCGAAGGCGGCCGACUGGGCCGACCCUGACGCUGAGGCGCGAAAGCUAGGGGAGCGAACGGG